rnacentral:rRNA from 1 species
UACGAAGGGUGCAAACGUUGCUCGGGAUUAUUGGGCGUAAAGCGCACGUAGGCGGCUUGGCAAGUCGGAUGUGAAAUCCCUCGGCUCAACCAAGGAAGUGCAUCCGAAACUGCCGAGCUUGAGUACUUAAGAGGAUCGCGGAAUUCCCGGUGUAGAGGUGAAAUUCGUAGAUAUCGGGAGGAACACCGGUGGCGAAGGCGGCUAUCUGGACCGGUACUGACGCUGAUACGCGAAAGCCAGGGGAGCAAACGGG